GUCGUGGACACAACGUUUCGGCCAUGGAGCCUUCUUCAGGGGUGAGGGGGAGAGGGAAAAUAGCCGCUGAUAAAGUAUGGUUCAGCAUGAUAUCCCCCUGCUUUAUCAACUCUUCUGAUGAGGCGUUAAGCAGGGGUCUUGAUUACACUGUCUGGAGUCAGAUGCCUUUGAUUCUGUAAGUGCACAAUGUCUGCCUUGCACGCAGCUCACCAGGCUGUGUGUGGUCAACACAGGAGAGCUCGUGCCUGUCCCUGUCUUCCGUUUGUGAGCUGCUGCUGGAGAUGGCCCGGUCCGGUCCCAGACUCUCCCGCUCAUCUCGGCGCAUUGGUGAUGGUGACGCGCCAGAAGCGUCUCUCCCAAGCGAGCGGGCAAAGACGUUGCUGUGAGCUUCCGGAGCCUCUCUGCUGCGGCCACGAGGAGUCACGUCGUCGAUGCGUACGAGCGAGCCGGUUCCGGGGGUGACCAUGCGUGUCCGGCCAUGACGGGACCUCCGAGCUUCACACCUGUGCUGGUGUCUCUGGGGCUUCUGCAGGUCCUGUCUUUCUGCGCGACCUCACCCCUCUAUCACCUCAGUGAAGGGUCGUCUUUCUGUCAUCUGUCCACAAAACUCUUCCCAAGCUCUCCUGGUUCAUCUUUAUAACUGUGGGCAAACUGUGGCCUGGCUUUUCAGCUCUUGGUGCUGAUCAGAUCUGUGUGAUCUGUGGACUGAAUACCCUCCCUCUGCGCUCUGGAGACUGUGCAUGUGGGAUUUUCCCAGACAGGUCAGAGGAUUGCUGCUUGUCAGGAUGCCAUCAGCCGUGGAUACUGUUCUGGGCUGCUGCGAAAUGACCUGCUUUUCUUCUGACGUUUCAUUUUGACUUUCGACAUACGGACUCAGAGCGCCGAAGUCGAAGUGAGACAGGCGGGCAGGGCGUUCGGGGUAAUUCCCCAAUAACGAACAUCUGACUGAACGGACAGCUGUUCUGAUACUUCUGCCCCCUCAAAAUCGAGCGCCUCCACGCUGUCGGAGUGUUCAUCUGAGCUCCGAGGGCAGAACUGAAUUGAUUUCACUUAAAAAUAAAAUACCCAGGAGCUGUAUGCAUCAGCCAGGAUUGUUAAAUGA